GACGAACGCUGGCGGCGUGCCUAAUACAUGCAAGUAGAACGCUGAAGGAGGAGCUUGCUUCUCCGGAUGAGUUGCGAACGGGUGAGUAACGCGUAGGUAACCUGCCUGGUAGCGGGGGAUAACUAUUGGAAACGAUAGCUAAUACCGCAUAAGAGUAGAUGUUGCAUGACAUUUACUUAAAAGGUGCAAUUGCAUCACUACCAGAUGGACCUGCGUUGUAUUAGCUAGUUGGUGGGGUAACGGCUCACCAAGGCGACGAUACAUAGCCGACCUGAGAGGGUGAUCGGCCACACUGGGACUGAGACACGGCCCAGACUCCUACGGGAGGCAGCAGUAGGGAAUCUUCGGCAAUGGACGGAAGUCUGACCGAGCAACGCCGCGUGAGUGAAGAAGGUUUUCGGAUCGUAAAGCUCUGUCGUAAGAGAAGAACGAGUGUGAGAGUGGAAAGUUCACACUGUGACGGUAUCUUACCAGAAAGGGACGGCUAACUACGUGCCAGCAGCCGCGGUAAUACGUAGGUCCCGAGCGUUGUCCGGAUUUAUUGGGCGUAAAGCGAGCGCAGGCGGUUAGAUAAGUCUGAAGUUAAAGGCUGUGGCUUAACCAUAGUACGCUUUGGAAACUGUUUAACUUGAGUGCAAGAGGGGAGAGUGGAAUUCCAUGUGUAGCGGUGAAAUGCGUAGAUAUAUGGAGGAACACCGGUGGCGAAAGCGGCUCUCUGGCUUGUAACUGACGCUGAGGCUCGAAAGCGUGGGGAGCAAACAGG
rnacentral:rRNA from 1 species